GCCGGUGAGAACCCGGCGCUGUCCCGCAACGGUAUCUGCGCGCGGCGCGCAGUUAGCCCGG
rnacentral:ncRNA from 1 species